UACUGGGCGUAAAGCGUGCGUAGGUGGUUGUUUAAGUCUGUUGUGAAAGCCCUGGGCUCAACCUGGGAAUUGCAGUGGAUACUGGGCGACUAGAGUGUGGUAGAGGGUAGUGGAAUUCCCGGUGUAGCAGUGAAAUGCGUAGAGAUCGGGAGGAACAUCCAUGGCGAAGGCAGCUACCUGGACCAACACUGACACUGAGGCACGAAAGCGUGGGGAGCAAACAGGAUUAGAUACCCUAGUAGUCCAAA
rnacentral:rRNA from 1 species